UGAUGAUGGUGAGGACAAUCCCUGAGAAGACCCUUGAACCUCUCCCACGCUUGAUACAAAUUUUCCCCAUUUUUCUGCCUGAAUGACAUGAUCUCUCUUCGGAGUCA